AGUGAACGCUGGCGGCAGGCCUAAUACAUGUAAGUCGAACGGCAGCACAGCAGCGCUUGCUCUGUGGGUGGCGAGUGGCGGACGGGUGAGGAAUACAUGGGAAUCUGCCCAGUCGUGGGGGAUAACGUAUGGAAACGUACGCUAAUACUGCAUGCGCCCUUUGGGGGAAAGCCGGGGACCUUUGGGCCUGGCGCGAUUGGAUGAGCCCAUGUACGCUUAGCUACUUGGCGGGGUAAAGGCCCACCAAGGCGACGAUCGAUAGCUGGUGUGAGAGGCGGAUCAGCCACACUGGGACGGGGACACGGCCCAGACCCCUACGGGAGUCAACAGUAGGGAAUAUUGGACAAUGGGCGCAAACCUUAUCCAGCCAUGCGGCGUGAGUGAAGAAGGCCCUCGGGUUGUAAAGCUCUUUUGUCCGGAAAGAAAAGCAUUCGGUUAAUAUCCGGGUGUGCUGACGGUACCGGAAGAAUAGGCACGCGCUAACUUCGUG
rnacentral:rRNA from 1 species